UGUGUUAAAGUUUUUAAAACAUUAGGCUUUGAACCUAAAUUGGGUUAAUUAAUUUAACCUAUCACAC
rnacentral:tRNA from 1 species